CCUGGGGACACCCUAAGGGAUGAGCGCCUUCGAGGUGUCUUUUUGAUAGGUUAAUGAGGUGACUUCAGGACCUCACCUGAGAACAGGGGUGGUUACCUGGAGACCUGACCAUGUGAUUAGAGCAUUGUGACUUUCAGUACCACCCACCUGACCUCUGGAGAAGAGCAAGGGGCUGGAGGUUGAACCAGUUGUCAAUGACCAAGAGUGCAGGCAAUCACGUUGGAGUAAUGAAGCCUCCGUAAAACUCUAAAGGCUCCAGGCUGGUGACCGUGUGGAGUUUCCGUGGAUCAGGAUUUCAGUAGCAGCUCGUCUGAGAAAUUCUGGCAUGGAGUCUCUCUUUAGGAUGCGGAGGGCUGGACUGCAUUCAUCUGUAUGCUUGCUUGGGACUGAAGCAUCUGUUUAUAAGAUGGCUCAUGUGUGGGGCUGCAAAGUCGAUGCUGGUUGCCAAUAAAAUGUCACAGUUUUUCUUCAUCUGAGCCUCUCAUGGGAUGCUUUAGUGUUCUCCAGUCACUGGUUGGGUUUCCUGGUUGAG
ensembl:lncRNA